CCUACGGGAGGCUGCAGUGAGGAAUAUUGGUCAAUGGACGAGAGUCUGAACCAGCCAAGUAGCGUGAAGGAUGACUGCCCUAUGGGUUGUAAACUUCUUUUAUAAAGGAAUAAAACGAGGCACGUGUGCCUUUUUGCAUGUACUUUAUGAAUAAGGAUCGGCUAACUCCGUGCCAGCAGCCGCGGUAAUACGGAGGAUCCGAGCGUUAUCCGGAUUUAGUGGGUUUAAAGGGAGCGUAGAUGGGUUGUUAAGUCAGUUGUGAAAGUUUGCGGCUCAACCGUAAAAUUGCAAGUGAUACUGGCAGUCUUGAGUACAGUUGAGGUAGGCGGAAUUCGUGGUGUAGCGGUGAAAUGCUUAGAUAUCACGAAGAACCCCGAUUGCGAAGGCAGCUUACUAAACUGUGACUGACAUUGAUGCUCGAAAGUGUGGGUAUCAAACAGGAUUAGAUACCCUUGUAGUC
rnacentral:rRNA from 1 species